rnacentral:tRNA from 2 species
CGGGAUGUAGCGCAGCCUGGUAGCGCACUUCGUUCGGGACGAAGGGGUCGGAGGUUCAAAUCCUCUCAUCCCGACCA